AGUGAACGCUGGCGGUAGGCCUAACACAUGCAAGUCGAACGGCAGCACAGUAAGAGCUUGCUCUUACGGGUGGCGAGUGGCGGACGGGUGAGGAAUACAUCGGAAUCUACUUUUUCGUGGGGGAUAACGUAGGGAAACUUACGCUAAUACCGCAUACGACCUACGGGUGAAAGCAGGGGAUCUUCGGACCUUGCGCGAUUGAAUGAGCCGAUGUCGGAUUAGCUAGUUGGCGGGGUAAAGGCCCACCAAGGCGACGAUCCGUAGCUGGUCUGAGGGGAUGAUCAGCCACACUGGAACUGAGACACGGUCCAGACUCCUACGGGAGGCAGCAGUGGGGAAUAUUGGACAAUGGGCGCAAGCCUGAUCCAGCCAUACCGCGUGGGUGAAGAAGGCCUUCGGGUUGUAAAGCCCUGUUGUUGGGAAAGAAAAGCAGCAGGUUAAUACCCCGCUGUUCUGACGGUACCCAAAGAAUAAGCACCGGCUAACUUCGUG
rnacentral:rRNA from 1 species